GGCCAAGAUGGUCGACCUCAAACUCAAUGGCAAUCGAGUCCUGGCCAGGGUGGCCCUGGUAGUGGUUUUGUGAGGCCCGCACGAGGUGGGCAUGGAGGUAGUGGAGGAGCAGGAGGAGGAAGAGAGGACUGGGGGCCUGCCGGUGGCAGGUUUCAGGGACACACUAGCACUGCUGUUUCUGUUCAUUCACGGAUAGAGCCACA
rnacentral:misc_RNA from 1 species